rnacentral:lncRNA from 1 species
UCUUGAUCAUCCUAAAUUUUCAGACUUCAUUAAGAGAAUCAGGUAAUCCCAUUUAACAUAUUAAAUCAUGAUCAAUUUUUAUUUAAUAAAUUAAAUAAAAUUAAAUAAUAAUAAAAGAAGGCUGUUGACCAGGUGAUCGAUUUUGAUAGACCACCCAAGCACCAAACAUUUGGGAUCAUCUUGUCAGAGUCAACAUGGGUCCCUAAAAGAGGAAGAUAUAACUCGAUAC